GAGGAAUAUUGGUCAAUGGGCGGAAGCUUGAACCAGCCAUCCCGCGUGCAGGAAGACAGCCCUAUGGGUUGUAAACUGCUUUUCCAGUGGGCGAAACACUCGUACGUGUACGAGAUUGACGGUACACUGGGAAUAAGCAUCGGCUAACUCCGUGCCAGCAGCCGCGGUAAUACGGAGGAUGCAAGCGUUAUCCGGAUUUAUUGGGUUUAAAGGGUGCGUAGGCGGAUGAAUAAGUCAGUGGUGAAAGGCUGCAGCUUAACUGUAGACUUGCCGUUGAUACUGUUUAUCUUGAGUAUGGUCAAGGCAGGCGGAAUGUGUAAUGUAGCGGUGAAAUGCUUAGAUAUUACACAGAACACCGAUUGCGAAGGCAGCUUGCUGGGCCAUUACUUACGCUGAUGCACGAAAGCGUUGUGAGCGAACAG
rnacentral:rRNA from 1 species